rnacentral:lncRNA from 10 species
GGUUUCACCGUGUUAGCCGGGAUGGUCUCGAUCUCCUGACCUCGUGAUCCGCCCGCCUCGGCCUCCCAAAGUGCUGGGAUUACAGGCGUGAGCCACCGCGCCCGGCCGUAUAUGCUUUUUAGAAGAACCAAAUUCAAGAACUUAACAGUUGGAUCUUCUAAGUUUGCCUCAGUGAAAUGAGGGCACAUAUUCGGACUUGUCAGAAGUACAUAGAUAAGUAUGGACCACUACAAGAACUUGAGGAGACAGCAGCAAGGUGUGUAUGUCCCUUUUGUCAGAGGGAACUGUAUGAAGACAGCUUGCUGGAUCAUUGUAUUACUCAUCACAGAUCGGAACGGAGGCCUGUGUUCUGUCCACUUUGCCGUUUAAUACCCGAUGAGAAUCCAAGCAGCUUCAGUGGCAGUUUAAUAAGACAUCUGCAAGUUAGUCACACUUUGUUUUAUGAUGAUUUCAUAGAUUUUAAUAUAAUUGAGGAAGCUCUUAUCCGAAGAGUCUUAGACCGGUCACUUCUUGAAUAUGUGAAUCACUCGAACACCACAUAAUUUUAUUAAAACGAAGGGAAAAGGGACCACUGAAUUGCACCAUUUAAGAUGCUGCUUGAACAAAUGGGAGGGAAGUUGUCAAUGAUUGAUGGGCAAAAAUGUACA